rnacentral:rRNA from 1 species
GAUGAACGCUGGCGGCGUGCCUAAUACAUGCAAGUCGAACGCACAGCGAAAGGUGCUUGCACCUUUCAAGUGAGUGGCGAACGGGUGAGUAACACGUGGAUAACCUACCUCAAGGUUGGGGAUAACAUUUGGAAACAGAUGCUAAUACCGAAUAAAACUUAGUAUCGCAUGAUACCAGGUUAAAAGGCGCUACGGCGUCACCUAGAGAUGGAUCCGCGGUGCAUUAGUUAGUUGGUGGGUAAAGGCUUACCAAGACAAUGAUGCAUAGCCGAGUUGAGAGACUGAUCGGCCACAUUGGGACUGAGACACGGCCCAAACUCCUACGGGAGGCUGCAGUAGGGAAUCUUCCACAAUGGGCGAAAGCCUGAUGGAGCAACGCCGCGUGUGUGAUGAAGGCUUUCGGGUCGU